rnacentral:lncRNA from 1 species
UCAGCCUCCUGAGGCCUCAACCUGGGAGUUCGAGUCUGAUAUGUGGAGCCGUUAUCAUCAUCUUUUUCCCAAUUCAGGUACUUCUUUCUUUUGUCUGUUAGAUGACGAACGAUUGUUUUAGAGGUGGAGAAUGUGACGACCCAAAGGGUCAUCACCUAUUUUUUUGUUCAUUAUGUGCUUCCGAGACCUUGAAAACCUUAUUUUUGGUCGUCUCAAUUUACGUGUGCAGUCCGGACGCGUAGACGGAAAGCUUAAAUAUGAAUUUUGUGUAAAAAUUUAUGAAUUUUAAUGAUAAUAUGAUUAAAGUUGACUUUGGUCAACAUUUGGAUAAACGGACCCGGACCCGUAAUUUGACAGUUCCGGACGGUCCGUAAAAAAUAUGGAACUUGGGCAUAUGCCCGAAAUCAAAUUUCGAGGUCCUGAGCCCGAAAAUAAAAUUUUAAGAGAAAUUAUUUUUCUGAAAUUUAUAUGAAAAUUUAAAGUGAAAAUAGAUUAGAAAAUAUUGGUAUCGGGCUCCUAUUUUGAUUCCGGCGCCUGGUACAGGUCUUAUAUGUGACUUAAGACGUUUAUGUUAAAUUUGAUUGAAAUCGAACGUCAUUUAACGUGUUUUGGACCUAAAUAACUAUCAAUGAAAGUUAAGAAGUUUGAUGAAAAAGUGUUGAUUUUGAGGGUUAGUUCAUUGAUUUUGAUGUUAUUUUGGCAAUUUGAUUGCACGUUUAAGUUCGUAGGAUGUUGUUGAGUUAUUGUGUGAGUUUGGUUAGGAGCCCUGAGGGCUCGAGUGUAUUUCAGAGGUGUUUCAGGGUGUUUUAACUUAGGAGAAGUAGCAGAUUUUCUGCAAUUUUUCCAUAGUAUUUUCCUUCUUCGCGAUCGUAGCCUUCAGCUCGCGUUCGCGUACCAUUAGGUUCCCACUUCUUCGCGUUCGCGAAAUAGAUCACGUGUUCGCAUAGUGGUAGCCCACCCUUCAUCGCAUUCGCAUGUGUACCCACGCAUUCGCAUAGAGUAAACCCCUGAACCCCCAGCCCUUUCUUCUACGCAUUCGGUAGUAGCUUCUCACAUUCGCAAUGCUUUGUUCUGAUUACCCUUCGCGAAUGCGAUCCCUUUCCCGCGAACGCGAAGGGCAAUUUUGCCUAGUGAUUUUUUUAAAAAGUUUCAGACAAUACAUUCGGGAUUUGUUCGAAUUUCUCAUGAACUCUCUUCUCCUCCAAGCUCUAGGAGUCCAUUGAAGUCCCCAUUCUUCUAUACCGCUUGGGUAAGUAAAUUCCCACUCGUUUCCUCGAUUUUUCCUUCAUGAAGUGAAUUUCUAGGCUUAAAUAUCAUAGAUUAGGGUGGAAAUUGGGUAGAAUUAGGGCUUUUCAAUUUUCUUUGAUUUAGACCUCGUUUUGGGGUCGAAUUUGAAAAUAAAUUGUAUAUUCGGGCUCGUGGGGAUAUGGGUGAUAUGAAUUUGGUUCGAACCUCGUGUUUUGACCAAGCAGGUCUGGGGUCGAUUUUUGGAAUUUUUGGAAGAAAGGUUUGGAACUUAUAUUUAGGCAUUGGGCUUGAUUUGUUUAGCUAUUAUUGAUAUUAUAAAGUCAUUAUUUCAUAGCUUUGAUUGAGUUGGAGCCGAAUUCAAGAGGGAAAGUGGUCGUUGUGGAUUGAUUUUUGCCGUGGAAAUGGAGGUAUGUGUUUGGUCUAACUUUGGCUUGAGGGAAUAGGAGUAGAGUCUUAUUUACUAAUUGCUAAUUGUCAAGAAUGGUGUAUAGGCAUGGUGAAGAGUAUCUAUACACUGGCGUAGAGUAUGACCGUAAGUCCUAAAUUUCUAAAUUAUAAAAUUCUUAAUUGUUGUUUAUGAUAACUUGGUUGGAAAUAUUUAACACUGAGCCAAUAAUUGUGGAGACUAAGUAUCGAUUUAAUUGUGGUAAGUAGAAAUUGAAUCAGUUUGGUUAUGGCUGGAUCUCCCUUGCCGGGAUAGUUUAUUAUAUUACCUUUUUUCCUUGCCGGGAUAGUAUAUUAUAAGAUCUUCUCCCUUGCCGGGAUUAUAUUGUGUACUGCAUUGAAAAAAUGUGGCACACCGACCAUGAGAUAUUAUGAAAUGGGAUCGUGUGGCACGCCGACAAUGAGAUAUUAUGAAAUGAAAAUGUCUGGCACGCCGACCACGUGAUAUUAUGUAAUGGGAGCAAGUGGUACGCCUACCACGUGAUAUAAGGAAAUUAGAUUGUGUUGCACGCUUGCAACAAGAGGAAAUUGAAAAAAGUGAAAGUGGUACGUUGUUCCAUUAUUCUGUGUUAGAAGAAAUCAGAUGUAGUUUCGUCAUUUAUUCCUGAUAUUCUUUUUUUAUCUACUAUCCCCAUGAGCAUGUCCCCCUCCCAGUUUUUACUUGUUAUUUUUUGCUGUUAUUUUGUUGUACUUGUAUAUAUAUCUGCACAGGUUUAUGUGGUAGUCUGGUCUAGACUCAUCAUUACUUCGCUGGGGUCAGGCUAGGCACUUAUUAGCACAUGGGGUCGGUUGUGCUGAUGAUACACUCUGUGCAUCUUUUUGCACAGAUCAUAGUGCCGGAGCAAUAACUUUUGGAUAGCAGUAGGAGCAUUGGGUGCUGACUUCAGUCCACAGAUCCCGAGGUAGCCUUGCUGACGUCCGCAUGACCCGGAGUCUCUCCUAUCUUUAUUUUUGUUUGUUAUCCUUGUACCGGAACAAAGAGUAUUGUGUUUUAUUCAGAUUCUGUGUUUAGCAUUCUAUAGAUGUCCAUGAGUUGGUG